AAUAAUCCCCGGUGCUGGGCUGCUUGUUGAAAUUUCUUGAUCUCCUGCUAGAGUCGACACGCCGCAGUUCUGAGCUGCUUUCGAGUGAGGUGAGCUGGAAAGGCAAGAUGUUGGACCUGUUGUAUUACAGCAAACAGCAAGAGAACAGACCCCACGGAUCUCCAAGCUGUGCAGAGGCACCUGCACCACUCAGAGCAUGGAGUCUGGCCUGAAUAGGUUUGAGCAGCACUAGGUCCCACUAAACCUACCCAGCUGCCUGAAGCAUCGGCGUCACCUAACACCUGCCCUCUGCACACCUGUGACACUGAAGCUGGCCUCUCUGGUUACAGAGGCCCUCUAAUGAAUGAGCUACACCUAUCAGCUCAACCAACAGUGACAUCACUUGGGCACGGCGACCAAUCGCGGCUCAGCGGGAUCUCUGGCUUCUCUCUUCACAGAGCCAACUGCCCCCUGGUAUUGGCGUUUCAAGCAAGACCACACAUGCUCCUCUUAUCUUCUUCAGACACUACCUGUGCACCUUAGGCAUGCAUUUACGGCAAUCUGUUUUUUUACUCUCCCCAACUCAGAAAGGGAGGGAAGAAUAUUAAACAUUCCUAAGGAUCAAAGAAAAUGUAUUUGCGGCUAUAAUGGGGCAGAGGACCUUCCACACAUAAUUUUAAAUUGCCCAAUAUACCAGAUCCCUAGAGCAAAACUGCUAUGGAAGUGGUUUGACAUUGGCGGGACGAGCACGGAAGUAGACAAAAUAUUCCUCUUACUCUCUGACUUAAAUCCAGAGAUUACUCAUGACUUAUCUCUCUUUGCACUAGCGGUUCAAAAAUUA